AGUUUAUUUAUUUUAAUGCACCCAUGGUAGGUUUAUCUGUACGUUGUGGGCUAAAAAAAAGACUGUUGGAAUGGGGAGAUGGAUGCUACAAUGGAGAUAUAUAAGACGAGGAAGAUGGUUCAAGCAUCGGAAGUCAAAGCUGACCAGUUGGGUCUUGAGAGAAGUGAGCAGCUUAGAAAGCUUUACCGUCAAUAGCAAAGUAGCAAAGUCUUCACUCGCUCUCUUCUGGCUAAAAGUGCUUCGCUUCUCACAGUGGUUUGCUUUCCAUUUCUUGGAGGAGUUCCUGAGAUUGGCACGACCGAACAUCGAUAACUAAAACGCGGAUGGCACGCGAAUGGAGCUUGAACCACUCUCCAGAGAAACGUCAAAGGGCACUUCGAACUCCUCCUCUAACCCGUUCUUCUCCAGAGGUAGUUACAGUUCGAUCAGACGCAGCUUGGAGCUCUAACGGAAGAGGCGCUGGGCUUGGAUGGGUCAUCCUUUCCACUCCUUGCAAUAGCCCUUUCCAAAAACACCAGGAGUUUGUAGCGUCACCCCUAAUGGCGGAGAGCUUGGCUUUGAGGGAAGCAGUACAAUCUUGCGUUGAGAAGGAAUUGAAGGAGGUGUGCUUUGAGUCUGAUUCUGCACAGCUGAUUAAAUCCAUCGCAUCAGGCAACGGAUUGCCGGAAAUUUACGGAGUAGUCAUUGAUAUUUUAUCUUCUGCAGCGUUGUUUAAGUCUGCUAGUUUCAAUUGGAUACCUCGGGAGAGGAACAUCCUUCCUGAUACCUUAGCCAAAGAUGCUUUGUUUGUAGGUGAAACUCGGGUAGUUGAGUUGGCGUUUAUGGCCCCCAAUUAACCCCUUGCUUUUAAUAUAAAUGUGUUUCAAAAAAAAAAAACUAAAACGCGGAAAAGACUGGUAGCGAUAGUCGCCGGCGGCAAAUAUAUAACGAUGCUGCGUUUUAAUUCUCUGUUUUCUUUGUUAAUUUUCGGUGGUUUUCUUCUGACGCAGCGUUAGAGAAAAGAACACGGCUAUACUCUACCUUCCACGUUUGAGAGUUAUUAGCAUAAUAUUUAUUUGCCUUAUACUAAAACUUCGAAAAUGUAAAUAGUCAUCAAGAAACAAUUUAGAGGGAAUGCAACCGGUACAAACUGUAGAUCCUAUGACUGACUUAUCGUCCUCAAACGGAUCUGAGGAGCAUGGAUCUCGACGAGCCACUAGGACCCAUAGCUUUCGCGGAGGUCACCACGACAGGAGACCUAUCCGGUUCGCCGUGAAGAGAGAAGAGAUGCCUUCCAAAACUUUGAUACCGUACAUUGACCGUCACUUUGGCGAGGAUGCCGACGGAAACGAUGGGUGGGAGACCUCGAGACCGUCUGAUGGAGGCGCCGGAACCGGCUGAGUCUCCACCCAUACAAAAUCUAUUUUGCGGAUGAAAGAAAAGAGAGGAGGGCUUAGUGGCAAUGUCCGCUCUAAAGAUUUUUAGUUUCCAAUUAUGUCUUUGAAUAUAUUGCAUCAUAGAAAUCAUAACAAUUUAGUUUAACAAUUGGUAUCUAAACAAAUUUAAAUUUGUUCAAUUCACCCGAGAAUUAGUUUUUAUUUUUUUAAUCGUGUUAGCGUUGAGGUAAGUUACGUAACAAACAUUAUGUUAAAGCACAUGCAUUGCGUAUACGAAUUUUGUUACAGAACGAACGUCAACGAUAACGUAAGCAGUGCAUGCACGAAGUUUGUGUAAAAUUAAUUGCUUGAAAAGGUGCUUAGAUUAGUCCGGAACAUCAUGGCCCAAUGGUAAGGACGGGCUCCUUCCUGCAUCCAGGUUGCGAGUUCGAAUCUUGCCGGAGAAAACUACCUCAUGAUGUCUCUGGACACCCAUAUGGGCCUAUGUUUUAGGGCCCAUUUGCAUAUCCGGAGAGAGGGUCUAUCCGUGUUAUCCCCAGGUUAAAAAAAAGUGCUUAGAUUAUGUUUCCAGAAUUAAUUACGGUUCUCUAUAUCACCAUAUCGAAAUCUCUUAAAAGGUUAAGUUAAAUAACUGGUUUAUGUAUUGGUGGCAAGAUUCAUAGAUGGAAUAAAAAUGAACAAAUGAUGCUCCUUUAAUUAAAUAACUAGCUUUUGACCCGCGCGUCCGCGCGGAUGUAUGUUCGAUGUAAUUAUAUGUUUUGUUUAUUGUAAAAAUAUUCAUGUUAUUGUUUCAUAUGUUAUUAGUUGUGACAUUGGUGUAUCUUGUUUAUGUUGUUUAGUGUACAUUUUUAAGCUUUGAGGUUGUAUUGUUCUUAUAUUGUAAUUUUUUUUUACUUGGUAAACUAAACAUAAAGUGUAUAAUAUUAGAACAUUUAUUUGAGAUUUAAUAGUUUUAUUAAAUAAGAAAAUCUAAAAUUUGUGAUUUAUAGCUUGUUUUAAAUUUUUGCUUAUAUAGCUUUACAAACAAUAAAAUCGCUAGCAAAUAUACAAACAAUUGGAAAAGUAACCCAAAAACAUAUAAAAAUAUGUAUAUCUCUAUUAAAUAUUUACAAAGUCUAAUUAGAUGAAUUGAUUUGCGCCAUUUUGUUAUGGUUUUAAAAUAUUUAUCAUUUGUAACCGAAUAAAUAGUAGACCUGAAUCACAAAUCAAAAUCUAUGUAAUUUUUUUUUUUUGGGAAAUAAACAGAAACACGUCUGCCCUGCUACCAGCUGUAUUGAUUUGAACAUUUUUAAUUACUCCCCAUUUUUCAACUGGUAUAGCAUGCUGAACAUGGUACAUGUGUGUUCUAAGGCCUGAGUUUUGUGAGAGCAUGAAAAGUAGUCAUAGUAGAUAGUUUCGGAGGAUUUGCGUUGAAUGAUAUGGUGUUUAGAUUAUUAGGAAAGAGGUAUAUAUAGCUAGUUAGGAAAGGUUAGAGUAAGUCAAUAUUAAUAUCUAAGAUUUUGUUAGUUGUGAAUUUUUAGUAUUAUAUAGCGAAUAUCCUAUACGAUUUUAUUCCAAGUUUGAUUCUUUGCUUAACGUAAUAAACGAAUAUAAGUUGAGAAAAUUAAGAUAUUUUACGUGAACGGCAAGAUUAAGCACACAAAAAGAUUUUGUGGUAGUUGAUUGAUAUGAUAUUUGUUAUGAAUGCUUAAAUAUAUGAAUAGAUUAGUGGUGGGCUUUCGGGUACCCAUUCAGGUUUGGUUCGGGUCUAUUCGGGUUUCAGAUUUUCGGGGUCAAAGAUUUCAGCUCCAUUCGGGUAUAUCUAAGUUUUGGUUCGGGUUCGGUUUGGAUCUUUGCGGGUUUGGUUCGGAUUAAGAUAACCCAUUAAAAUUAUUUUUAAAAUUUUAAAAUUCAUUUUAUAAUUUAAAUUUCUCAAAAUAUACAAACAAAAUAAUAUAUCACAUAUAAAUUUGAAUAACAUAUAUCAAAAUACCUAAACUUAACAUAUAAUUUGAUUUGGUUUGAAUAUUUGGAUAAAUAAUCAAUAGAUAUUUCAAGUAUUUUUGGUGUUUUGGGUAUAUUUUAGCUAUUUUAUUCAUUUACCUUUGACUAUUUGUAUAUAUUUUCAAGUAUUUGAACAAUUUAAAAAUAUCUUAUAUAUUUUGGAUGUUUUUAAUAGAAAUUAAAUCUAAAAUAUAUUUAUAUACGGGGUAUACAAAUCUAUUUCGGAUUCAUUCGGGUACCCGAAAUACUUCGGUUCGGGUCGGAUUCGGGUUUGGUUUUGGUUCUUUAGAUACCAAAAUUUUGAAUCCAUUCAGAUAUUUAAUCAAUUUCGGUUAUGAUUCGAUUCGGUUCUUCGGAUUCAGAUUUUUUUUCCCACCUCUAGAAUAGAUAGUAGAGUAAAAAUUGUUUUCAUAAACAUUUUUUAGUUGUUCUGUGAGUAAGAAUUUGAUUCCACGCUAUAGGAAUGUUGUAUAUAUAUUGUUUGGUCGAGUCUAUAGGUUAAAAAAAUCUUGACUAAAUAUUAGUCAAACAUGAUUUACACAUUUUAAAAAGAAUAUAUACAUAUCUUAAAAUAUUUAAUAACAAUUCUUUUUAUUUUAAUAGUUAAUCAGUUAGGGUUGGUUAAGAUAAGAGAUUUAGAUCUUGUACUAUAAAAUAUCAUACAAUUAAGAUGUUUUUUUAAAAAAGAAUUAUUAUAUUUAGUCAUACGUGAUUUCACGUUUUGGAAAUAGAAUAUACAAAUUUUGAAGUAACACUAAUAAAUGUAUUUUUACAUUUCCAUAUUUUAUUAGUUAAUAUUACCUUUUGAAUAGAAUGCAUUUGAAGUUUGAAAGGAAUAUAUAUGCAGAUUUUGUUUGUAAGAUUGAUAUAGAUUUGGUUAUUGUGAUAGCUUAAAAAUAGGAGUCCUCUUUGGAAUUUUUUUUUAUAUUAAGGUUCUACAAAAUUAAUGAUAUAGAUUGUGUGUGCAUCGAAAAAUCUGCUGAAUAUAACAUUCCAAAUUUAGUAUUUCAUAAAUGGUUCGGCUAAAUAAUAUUAAAAACGUGGUUACACAAACCAUAUGUAAGUAUGCAGUUUGGUAUGAAAAUCUUUUACAGACCACCAAAUACAGAUUAUAUACAUAUAAUAUUAAUUUUCUUGAUCAGAGUAUAUAAUUGAAGUACACGUUUGGUUAAGUAUUAGAUGAAAUAUAGUAGACUUAAUAUAUUAUAAUUUUAUGUUAUAGAUUUGACAAACAUGGUUCUUUAUAUUAGCAGUUUACGACUCUACAGCAUUGGAUAGAUUGAAUUUAUGACGGCAUUCAAAUUUCUAACCGAGUUAAGGUUGGUUAAGGGAACACGUGAUAUUUGGUUAAUUCAAUUAAUUGAAUUAAGGUUGAUUUGUAAUGUUGUUAAAUGAGUCAGUGGCAUGCAAUGGUAAUUAUUGUGGAAAAUUAAGGGUUAAGUACAUUUUGUACUUCAGUUUUAAUAGUUUAGAUGAAAGUGCAUGCAUCUAAUCUAUUAAAACAGAAGUACAAAAUUAAAAUAACUUUAGAUUUUCAAAGUUAUUUACACUCUCAUGCCACUUAGAUUAUUAAUAAGCUUUCCUAAAAAUAAUGUUAUCUUUUUCGAUUAAUUAAUGCUAGAAUAUUGACAAUAAAAACGGAAACAAUGACUUCAAGUCUUCAACAUGAUCUGUUGUUUUUAACUAAAUUAAAAUUACCUAAACCUUUCUUCUUCACUUACCGUAUGAUGAAUCGGAUGACUUCAAAGUAAAUCAUUGAUUCCAUUCUUCAUUCAUAUCAUAUAAUUAUAUGAAUAAUUAUUCCUCCAAAACCCUCAUUUUCCAGUCACGUUAGCAUUGACAUCAUGUGGAUAUAUUAAUGUAAACUAUAACAACAACUAGAUAUAUAUAUAUAUAUAUAUAUAUAUAUAUAUAUAUAUAUAUAUAUAUUAAUUUCGUAAUGUAUAAAAUUCAAAUCAUCUAUAUCAAUAGAUGAUCUAAUCUUUCUAAACCAACCAAAUCAAUUAAAACCCAUAAAAGCAGGUUAUCUUUGUUGAGUCUAUCCAAGCCCAUAAUCAAUGUCAAAUCUUUAAUAUAUACCUAUAAAACAUAGAAAUUGUAACCUAGAAUUUCGCUAUCUUUUAUAUUUACGUAAAUAAUAUAUGGUAUUAAUUUUUUUUUCCAAAUCAGUUCUUCAUUGCUUUACUUGCGGAAGAGUCUACAACAAGUUCAAAAUUUGAAUUCAGAAAUGAUUAAAUCUGAGUUAAUUAACAUGAUCCUACUUACCAAAAAUAUUUGAUCCCCUUAUAUUCAAAAUCUUAAACUUUGAUAAUAGAAUAAAUAGUUAAUAAUGAUAAUUGAGUAUAUUUGAUUCAUUAAUAGUAUCAUUGUAAUCAACUACCGUGAGAGUUAAUGUUAGCACAACAUGUAGGAAACUGAUUUGCCAAAUAAUAUUAUAGAGAUAAAACAGUUAUAAGUUCUUAAAUUAAUCAGUAAAAAUUAGCUUUUAUUAAUUUGGUAAAAUUUUAUAUUAUUAUUUUUAAAGUACAUAAUAAUUAAUUACAAAUUCUGAAACUAACUAAAAAUAUAUUUUUUCUUAUAUACAAUUGUUUCUAUUCAUUAUUUUGAAAUAAAUAAAUGUUUUAUAAAUUUAGAAUCUAAAUAAAAAAGCUUUUAUCAUACAACUGUCUCUAUUCAUAAACCAUAUAUGUUGCGAUAAAUAUUUAAUAAAUUAGUUAUGUUCUGAUUAUUUGAAAAGUUUGGAUUUAUUUCUUUUUAAGUAACAAAAUUUUAUAUAUUAAUUAUAAUGUUUGAGAUUACUUUCUGGGGUUCAUGCAUAUUAAAAAUAUAAUAUAUAUUUACAAUUAGUAAUAUUAUUUAUUUUUACUAUGAAAAUUUCAAAUAACUAUAG